AAUCGGCAAACUAAGCGAAAGCUUAGGACGCAAAGCACAGUGUCUAAUGCAAGUUUUUGCAAUGAUUGACUGGCUGC
rnacentral:ncRNA from 1 species